rnacentral:rRNA from 1 species
AUUGAACGCUGGCGGCAGGCCUAACACAUGCAAGUCGAGCGAGCGGCGGACGGGUGAGUAAUGUCUGGGAAACUGCCUGAUGGAGGGGGAUAACUAGUGGAAACGGUAGCUACUACCGCAUACGAUCAGAUGUGCCCAGAUGGGAUUAGCGAGUAGGUGGGGUAAUGGCUCACCUAGGCGGCGAUCCCUAGCUGGUCUGAGCGGAUGACCAGCCACGCUGGAACUGGGACACGGUCCAGACUCCUACGGGAGGCAGCAGUGGGGAAUAUGGCACAAUGGGCGCAAGCCUGAUGCAGCCAUGCCGCGUGGAUGAAGAAGGCCUUCGGGUUGUAAAGUACUUUCAGCGAGGAUGCGUUACUCGCAGAAGAAGCACCGGCUAACUCCGUGCCAGCAGCCGCGGUAAUAC